CGGACGGGUGAGUAACGCGUGGGUAACCUGCCCCAUAGAGGGGGACAACAGCUGGAAACGGCUGCUAAUACCGCAUAGCAGGGAAGAGACGCAUGUCUUUUCCUUCAAAGAUUUAUCGCUAUGGGAUGGACCCGCGUCUGAUUAGCUAGUUGGUAGGGUAACGGCCUACCAAGGCGACGAUCAGUAGCCGGCUUGAGAGAGUGGACGGCCACAUUGGGACUGAGACACGGCCCAGACUCCUACGGGAGGCAGCAG
rnacentral:rRNA from 1 species